AACGGCAAUGGUUCUAUCGCCGGCCGCGCAUGCGGCGGGAGGAAAGUCCGGGCAACACAGAGCCGCCAUACUUCCUAACGGGAAGGGGUCCGGGGUGCAAACCCCUCACCACAGACAGUGCCGCAGAAAAUAUACCGCCGGCUUCGGUCGGUAAGGGUGAAAUCGCGAGGUAAGAGCUCACGUCAUCGGCAGUGAUGCCGAUUGGAGGUAAACCUUAUGGGUUGAAAGACCAAAUACACCGGCAAUUAAGGGUUGGCUCGCCCGCUGCCGGGGGGUAGGUCGAUUGAGACGGCUGGCAACAGUCGUCCUAGAUAAAUGAUAGAAGGCCGGCUUCCGCCGGUUACAGAACCCGGCUUACAAGUUGCCGUUUUUU
rnacentral:RNase_P_RNA from 1 species